UUCGUAGGUGGCAAGCGUUGUCCGGAUUUAUUGGGCGUAAAGCGAGCGCAGGCGGUUCCUUAAGUCUGAUGUGAAAGCCCCCGGCUCAACCGGGGAAGGUCAUUGGAAACUGGGGAACUUGAGUGCAGAAGAGGAGAGUGGAAUUCCAUGUGUAGCGGUGAAAUGCGUAGAUAUAUGGAGGAACACCAGCGGCGAAGGCGACUCUCUGGUCUGUAACUGACACUGAGGCACGAAAGCGUGGGUAGCAAACAGG
rnacentral:rRNA from 1 species